AUGAGAGCCGGGAAUUAUAUAACUCCUGAAAGUUCGACGGAUUUGGAUUUGCUGCAGUCAACAAUUUCACGCAUUCACACAGUCGGUGUAUCGGUAGCAGUUGAAUCAAGAUCAGAUUAUCCAGAUUUCAAUGGUUUUCUAAAAUCACAAUAUGCAUUGAAAUUUGGACGGUUAGGUCUCAUUCAACUGCCACUUACAUGUCGACUGUGUCGGUUGCUAAAUGCAGCAAAUCUGAAUCCAAGUUUCAGAGGGAGAAUGAAGCAGAACCUGUUCUUGUUCUUGUUCUGUUCCAUUACUAUGUAUGAGUUAAUACCACAUUUAAUCCAAUCUAAUUGUCUGUGUUUCAAAAGUGUUUAUGGAAAAUGUAGCUAG